rnacentral:misc_RNA from 1 species
AAGAUGGGAAUUUGAGAGUGUAACAGCCCAAACAGAAGCUUGUGAGGCUAUGUAAAUAUUCAAGUUCUAAUGUUUUCAAUUUGGUGAAAACAAUCUCUUCCGUUGUUUCACGGUGUUCACCUCCUACCAUUUCCAUCAACAUAUCACAAGAAUUUACAGUCAAUAUCUCAAGUUGAACCAUACUUUUGGCUGCUGUUGACGUCACCAUAUUUUUCAAUCCAUUGCAAUGACUAACUUCAAGAGUUGUUAAAUUUUGGAAAGUUGCAGAUGAUGGUGCUAAAUUAAUCAAAUCACCAAGAUUGUUGAGGUUUAAAGCUCUUAUCCGUGAGGGUGUAAUGGUAUCUUUCUGGUCACCACCGAGUCCUUUUAAUACAAAUAGCUCCUUGAGAGAACAGUCACGGACGCCAAGUUCUUCAAGAUUGGGUAAUUUUGGAAGGAAACGAAAUAGAGAAGCACAAGAUUUGUCUGGAAAGAAGCGCAGCUCAACAACUUUUAGUUUGGAAAAGAACUCUGUUGGGAAUUCAGAUUGCAACAGCAUCAUGACAGAUUUGCUGUCUAAUGACAACUCUUCCAAUUUGGGAAACAUCUUAUGGCUAAAAGGGACAUCGAACUCUUCCUUGUCUUGUCUUUGCUCCCUCCCUUCACCAUUUCCUUUUGGUUUUUGUUCCCGUAGUAGUGUGGAAAAGAAUGUCUUCAUGCUUGGACAGUCAUAUAUGCUCAUCUUUUUCAAUGAUGGACAUUCCAGAUUACUACUUCUUGAACAAAAAUUUGAAAAUUUAGGCAAACAUUCAA